rnacentral:rRNA from 1 species
GACGAACGCUGGCGGCGUGCUUAACACAUGCAAGUCGAACGGAAAGGCCCUGCUUUUGUGGGGUGCUCGAGUGGCGAACGGGUGAGUAACACGUGAGUAACCUGCCCUUGACUUUGGGAUAACUUCAGGAAACUGGGGCUAAUACCGGAUAGGAGCUCCUGCUGCAUGGUGGGGGUUGGAAAGUUUCGGCGGUUGGGGAUGGACUCGCGGCUUAUCAGCUUGUUGGUGGGGUAGUGGCUUACCAAGGCUUUGACGGGUAGCCCGCCUGAGAGGGUGACCGGCCACAUUGGGACUGAGAUACGGCCCAGACUGCUACGGGAGGCAGCAGGGGGGAAUAUUGCACAAUGGGCGGAAGCCUGAUGCAGCAACGCCGCGUGCGGGAUGACGGCCUUCGGGUUGUAAACCGCUUUCGCCUGUGACGAAGCGUGAGUGACGGUAAUGGGUAAAGAAGCACCGGCUAACUACGUG